rnacentral:misc_RNA from 1 species
AGCUGCAGGUCUGAGUCCCCUAC